rnacentral:rRNA from 1 species
UACAGAGGUCCCAAGCGUUGUUCGGAUUCACUGGGCGUAAAGGGUGCGUAGGUGGUGAGGUAAGUCGGAUGUGAAAUCUCCGAGCUCAACUCGGAAAUGGCAUUGGAAACUUACCUUGCUCGAGGGUUGGAGGGGGACUGGAAUGCUUGGUGUAGCAGUGAAAUGCGUAGAUAUCAAGCGGAACACCAGUGGCGAAGGCGAGUCCCUGGACAACUCCUGACACUGAGGCACGAAAGCUAGGGGAGCAAACAGG